AACGAACGCUGGCGGCAUGCCUAACACAUGCAAGUCGAACGAGACCUUCGUGUCUAUUUGCGCACGUGGGCGUACCGCGUGGGAACCUGCCCUUAGGUUCGGAAUAACUCCCCUUAAGAUGUCCUAAUACCGGUUAAUGUCUUCCGGCCUAAGAUCUAUGGCCUUUGGAUGGGCCCGCGUUGGAUUCGCUGGUUGGUAGGGUAAAAGCCUGCCAAGGCGACGAUCCAUAGCUGGUCUGAGAGGAUGAUAAGCCACGCUGGGACUGAGACACGGCCCAGAAUCCUACGGGAGGGAGCAGUGGGGAAUAUUGGACAAUGGGGGAAAGCGUGAUACCGCAAUGCGGCGUGAGUGAUGAAGGCCGUAGGGUUGUAAAGCUCUUUUACCCGGGAUGAUAAUGACAGUAACGGGAGAAUAAGCACCGGCUAACUACGUG
rnacentral:rRNA from 1 species